rnacentral:rRNA from 1 species
GGCGCAAGGCUGAUCCAGCGAUGCCGCGUGCAGGAUGACGGUCCUAUGGAUUGUAAACUGCUUUUAUACAGGAAGAAACACCUCUACGUGUAGAGACUUGACGGUACUGUAAGAAUAAGGAUCGGCUAACUCCGUGCCAGCAGCCGCGGUAAUACGGAGGAUCCAAGCGUUAUCCGGAAUCAUUGGGUUUAAAGGGUCCGUAGGCGGUUUAGUAAGUCAGUGGUGAAAGCCCAUCGCUCAACGGUGGAACGGCCAUUGAUACUGCUAGACUUGAAUUAUUAGGAAGUAACUAGAAUAUGUAGUGUAGCGGUGAAAUGCUUAGAGAUUACAUGGAAUACCAAUUGCGAAGGCAGGUUACUACUAAUUGAUUGACGCUGAUGGACGAAAGCGUGGGUAGCGAACAGGAUUAGAUACCCUGGUAGUCCACGCCGUAAACGAUGGAUACUAGCUGUUGGGAGCAAUCUCAGUGGCUAAGCGAAAGUGAUAAGUAUCCCACCUGGGGAGUACGAACGCAAGUUUGAAACUCAAAUGAAUUGACGG